UACGUAGGGGGCAAGCGUUGUCCGGAAUCAUUGGGCGUAAAGCGCGCGUAGGUGGCCUCAUAAGUCCGCUGUGAAAGUCAAAAGGCUCAACCUUUGAAAGCCGGUGGAUACUGUGAGGCUAGAGUACGGAAGAGGCGAGUGGAAUUCCUGGUGUAGCGGUGGAAUGCGCAGAUAUCAGGAGGAACACCAAUAGCGAAGGCAGCUCGCUGGGACGUUACUGACACUGAGGCGCGAAAGCGUGGGGAGCAAACAGG
rnacentral:rRNA from 1 species